rnacentral:rRNA from 1 species
UACGGGGGGGGCAAGCGUUGUUCGGAAUUAUUGGGCGUAAAGAGCUCGUAGGCGGUCUGUCGCGUCGGCUGUGAAAACCCGAGGCUCAACCUCGGGCCUGCAGUCGAUACGGGCAAACUAGAGUACUGCAGGGGAGACUGGAAUUCCUGGUGUAGCGGUGAAAUGCGCAGAUAUCAGGAGGAACACCGGUGGCGAAGGCGGGUCUCUGGGCAGUAACUGACGCUGAGGAGCGAAAGCGUGGGGAGCGAACAGG